AAUGCAGGGUGGCAACAGAGGAUCCUGUCUCACCCCAUGCUCCCAGCCACUUGAGAGAAGGAGGCCUAAGGCCUGCUCUCAGAGGGCCACACACAAAAAAGACAUCGGACAGCCCAGCUGUCCUAUCUGCAUAAUGGGUAAGCCACAGACAGAUGGCGUCCUCCCCAUUCCGAUGCAGGAUGAGAAAGAGGGCUAUGGUAGGUUCUAGGACUCUCAAGCCUGGGAGGGAGACCUGCUUCUUCCUCAAGGGCAGCCCUGUGUCUCCAUCACACGGGGGCAGCUGUGCCUCUCAUUCUUCGCCUGGUCGCUGCCCACCUGCUUCUUCACGUUAGCCACAUCACAGCGUAUCCUCUGGACCAGCCGGCUCAGCUCCAGCAUCUCAUUCCUGCUGUGCUUCAGGUUGUCCCCAUGGCAGCCAGCCGCCAGCUGCAGCUCCUGAAUCUAAAGUGCAGGAGAGAGGAGGAUGGGGACGAGACGCAGGAAAUGACCAGUCCUGAGAGGCAUCUCCUAAAGGCCCAGCCUGGCUCUUCUCCUCUCCGGCAUUGAAGAUGCAGCCUGCCGGCUCUUUCUAGGCUCACCCUCUUCUGCAGAACUUUCCCAGGCACAGAAAUGGAAAGUUGACACAUUAAUUACCCUGAGGGUCUUGCUGCAUCAACUGAUCUCUUCAUCAGAUGCUCUUAGAAUUCCAGCUGGCUCUUGAGGGCCUUCUAACGCCCUCAUGCAUAACAGAAAGAAGCUCAGGGCUUCCUCGUCUCUCCCCGCUGACCCCAGCUCUCCCACUACUACUCUGUUCUAAUACCUGUGUCCUCCCUCCCUGGGCCACUGCACCGUCAUCCCCAUAAAUCC